rnacentral:rRNA from 1 species
AGCAGCCGCGGUAAUUCCAGCUCCAAUAGCGUAUAUUAAAGUUGUUGCAGUUAAAAAGCUCGUAGUUGAAUUUCGGGAUCAAUAUUUCGGUCAUGCCGUUGGUAUGCACUGUUAUCAUUGAUUUCUCACCUUCUAAAGAACCGUAAUGCCAUUAAUUUGGUGUUACGGGGAAUUAGGACUGUUACCUUGAAAAAUUAGAGUGUUUAAAGCAGGCUCACGCUUGAAUACAUUAGCAUGGAAUAAUGAAAUAGGACAUCCGAUUCUAUUUUGUUGGUUUCUAGGAUCGAUGUAAUGAUUAAUAGGGAUAGUUGGGGGCAUUAGUAUUCAAUUGUCAGAGGUGAAAUUCUUGGAUUUAUUGAAGACUAACUACUGCGAAAGCAUUUGCCAAGGAUGUUUUCAUUAAUCAAGAACGAAAGUUAGGGGAUCGAAGACGAUCAGAUACCGUCGUAGUCUUAACCAUAAACUAUGCCGACUA